AUUUUACCUCGACACAAGCCUUGGAGUUCUCAUGUCUGAGUCUGCACCUUCCAAACUCAAGAGGAACCAAUCUCAUCUAUAUGGAUCCCGCCUUCAUCCUUCCUGCCUUCUUCAGUAUCUGUGCCAGUGGGGGCACAUGGUAACUAUUUUCAGAGCAGGUGUGAGGAAAUGAGGCAGGUUGGCUAGCAGCCAAAUGCUUGUCAGAGGUGCCUAAAUCACAGGCAACAACCAUGACUUUCUGGGUUGCACCAUCUGCUCUCUGAUGUUGCCUUCUGCUGUAAAUUCCCAGAGAAAGCACCCAAAAGCCCUCCUGACCUUGCUGAAAGCAGCACCCUCCUGGUUCCUGAAUGCAGGAAAAGGUUUUUCUUUCAUUGUCCACAGUCACCACAAGGUCCUGCCUCCAGAAUUACCUCUUUUCCUCUCACCUUGAGCCUCCCACAGCCUAAGGUCUAUUUCUGAGACCCCAGUGGGACCUGCUAAAAAUGGACACAAAAAGGACAGAAAUUCAGUUUGUGGCUCAUUUGCAGAAUGAUUUUGUUCAUGAGACGGGGUGAAGGUGCAAGAUACUGACUCC